AAAUAAUAUAUAAAUUCCCUGAGAAUACAUCUCAAUGUAAAAAUCAUUCUAAGACGAUGAAACAAUUUUUGGGGUUGUUACAAUAUGGGGUCCUAUUGUUAUGUUAUCCAGAUGUUGCUAAUGUCGCGAGUCUUGCCUGGAGGUACGGAGUCAAACAGCGGUAUACAGGGCUGACAUUCAAAGUACUACCACUCGGUAGGCUUGUGUAGUGUUAUGCCUCCUCGGCACCAAUAUCCCUGGUUGCAGCGCAAUCGUCUUGGCAAGCAAUUAAUGAGCUGCCAUGCUCAAUUAAGAAUAUAUACUUGCCAUCUCAAUUGUUGAUGAAGCCUCAUAGCGUCAAGCAUCAACGUAAGGCAGUUACCUGCUGCGUAGCAUUUAUGUAUCAUAUAUGUCGGAAAGAAACGAAGUCAAGAUGCAGCAGGUGGACACCAUCUCGCAGAACAAUUCUUUAGAUGUGGAGGAGCGAGAAAGGCUGUGUAAUAUACCGAAGGUGAGAAACCUUGCUGACUAUGGUUUCGAUUAGGAUAUAUUGUUGAAAUAUGAAUUGGCAACUAAUAAUUCGUGCUGUUUCAAAUAAUCUAUAAAUCUUGCUUUAUUCUCUAUUAGUCUAUAAAUAA